UGACGCUGUAAAUUUGAAGUCUAUAUUAGCACUGGACCCACGGAAACUAAUGUAAUUGGAGAGGGAGGAGAAGGAGAAAAUAAUUCAGAAAUACAGAGGAGCUAGGCAAGGAGCGGUGAUAGAUUGCUCCAGAAAGGCAAAGAAUCAUCUGAAAGGAAUGUGGAGAUCAGAGAAAAAUGAUGGGAAAGUUACCACAGCCUGCAAAUGAGAAAUGAUGAGAGCCUGCCUGGGGUAAGGCAGUUGUGUGGGACGGAAAGGAAGCACUAGAUGAGGCAGAUGCUUAGGUGGAGCAAGAACAGGGCAGGAGAAGCAAGUAAAGGAGGGGACUGAGGGACGAAAGGGGCCUAGAGCUCUGGAGGGCUUAGUGGGGCCAUCAUUGCAGGAAGGGGAUCAGGAAUAGAUUUGAGUCCAGAUAAGACAAUUAGGUUAUUUUUGAAUAUAUCAAGCAAGUAGUACUGGAGAUAUUCACUGUGCACAGAAGUUUGUUGUUCCGGAGAGCUGUCAUCCUGGAGUCUUGGAUUUGGGCAGGUGGUGGGUGUGAUCAGCUAAGGAUCGAAUGGGGCGGGCAUAUGGGGAGCUGGAGCCACAGACCCAGGAUUAUCAAUACUUAACAGACAUUUUAAUAAAUAGCCAUAAGCACAUUUCUAUUAAAUUAAUUCCUUUUUUCUUUCUUCUUCAUGUUGCAGUAUGACCUGUUUGAGAGAAUAUGGAGCUGAACUCCUUGGGCAUGAAUUGGGAUCUGUUUCUGG
rnacentral:lncRNA from 1 species